rnacentral:lncRNA from 1 species
CGAAAAGAAGUCAAGAUCAUAGCGCAGAGCCCCAUUUAUGUGCUCAUUCAUACCCACAUCCACUUGCAACCGUGGUAUAGCACGCCACGCAUGCACACUAAAGAAGGAUGCCUCUGUUACCAAGCGCACUCGGCCCACUUGAUUAAUUUAUAGGAGAUAGAUGCAAGAAAUGACGUCAUUAAGUAUAGGUGUAAUAUCGAUACCAAAAAAAUAUAUGAACUGGAAUUUGAUGAAUUGGUUGGGUUUCGAUUCAAAGCAAGUUUUUUUUAUUUUAUAUUUUGGUUUUUCAGAUUGAAAGGUGACAAAUGUAUUGGAUUAUUUUCUAUAAAUUGUGACUUCAAAAAUGAUAUGCUACGUAGUUAUAUCCCUAAUAUUAUUCACCAAACUGCAAAUGAUUUUAUGGAGGUUGAGUGCCUUGAAGAAUAUUAAACUUUUGACGUGUACCUUCUGCCAUCUUUUACGCGUCUCUUAUUUUAGCAGAAUUGCAGAAAGCAACUUCUUGAUAUCCUUCCAAAGAUCUAGCCAUAAAAUUGCGUCAACAAGAGAAAUAAAUGAUUUAGUUUAACUCCUUCCAAGUUCCAAAGGUAGCAAACAAGAUUGAAGUCAUUGAACUACAAAAAUCUGUUCAUUUGUUUCGAUACAAAUUCACACAAAAAACACCCCAAAAAUAAAUAAAUAAAACUACAUAAUCAGCACAGAAGAAUUCAGUAAAAUUUCAAUCUGUUUUGCCUCUUGAUCAUACUCCUCUGCCUCCAGCUCCCACUCUUCAGCUAUUGUCUCCAAUUCAGGACAAGUUGAAGUCUUGUUGGGAGAUAUCAGAAGGGCAGGAGCAACCUCAACCCAAGACGCCAACAAUCCCAUCUCCUUUGCCAUUGAAAUCAAACAAAACAAAAACCCUUCUUUCUUCUUUCCUUCUCUGAUCAGCUGCUUCGAAGCUUGAAGAUGAACAAGAAGUUGCUCUCAAAACAAACAAAAAGGGCUUCUGUUGCAGAUUCUUGAUUUGGGUUUUGUUUCUAGAAACAGUUUCAGUCUGUGAGAAUGAUUUGGGUUGAAGGUAAAGUAGAAGAAGGUGGCUUUUUAUAGGGAGUUCAAGAAUCAUAUGAUAUUGGUGAGAAAAAUGAGUGAAGGAAACUACACCAGCAGCUGCACAAAAAAGUUACAAGGCAUGUGAGGAACAUGGAAAAUGAGAAUAAAUAAAUAAUUGUGACACGUUUGAUAGCUAUGAUGGCAAAUUUUUCUAGCAACGCCAAGUGUUCGAUCUACGUUGAAUCUUAUUAAUGUCCAAAGCUCCCAUCCCAUCCAAUCUAUGGUGACUGCCCACCAAAUUGCUUAAAUUCUGCAAUACACUACAAGAAAGUACCUAAAAUCCCAAUCAUUUUUGGCUCUUCUAUUUUUCACAAAAACGUAAAUUUUCAACAUCCUCCUCAC